CUGCGUGAGUGUUGUGACCCGUGCCCAGACAGUGCUUGCCGAAUAGAGGACAUGGUUUAAUGGUGCGACAAAUUCCUCCACUACUCGGUUCCGUCCUGUGCCAGCACCGUCGUGGCAGAAAAAUAUGCGACCGAAAGGAAGUGCCACGCCGAGGAAGGUUUUAGCUAAUCGCAAGUAGCAAGUGUUAGAACGCUUAGAACGACGGGGUGUGUUGGGCGGGA